rnacentral:rRNA from 1 species
UACAGAGGUGCCAAGCGUUAGGCGGAAUCACUGGGCUUAAAGCGCGUGUAGGCGGGUCGUUAAGUGUCCGAGGGAAAUCCCACGGCUCAACCGUGGAACUGCCGGGCAUACUGGCGAUCUUGAGGCAUUCAGGGGCGAGCGGAACAAAUGGUGGAGCGGUGAAAUGCGUAGAUAUCAUUUGGAACGCCAAUGGUGAAAACAGCUCGCUGGGAAUGAUCUGACGCUGAGACGCGAAAGCGUGGGGAGCGAACAGG